rnacentral:rRNA from 1 species
CCCUUUUGGGUGUGACUGCGUACCUUUUGUAUAAUGGGUCAGCGACUUAUAUUCUGUAGCAAGGUUAACCGUAUAGGGGAGCCGUAGGGAAACCGAGUCUUAACCGGGCGUUAAGUUGCAGGGUAUAGACCCGAAACCCGGUGAUCUAGCCAUGGGCAGGUUGAAGGUUGGGUAACACUAACUGGAGGACCGAACCGACUAAUGUUGAAAAAUUAGCGGAUGACCUGUGGCUGGGGGUGAAAGGCCAAUCAAACCGGGAGAUAGCUGGUUCUCCCCGAAAGCUAUUUAGGUAGCGCCUCGUGAAUUCAUCUCCGGGGGUAGAGCACUGUUUCGGCUAGGGGGCCAUCCCGGCUUACCAACCCGAUGCAAACUGCGAAUACCGGAGAAUGUUAUCACGGGAGACACACGGCGGGUGCUAACGUCCGUCGUGAAGAGGGAAACAACCCAGACCGCCAGCUAAGGUCCCAAAGUCAUGGUUAAGUGGGAAACGAUGUGGGAAGGCCCAGACAGCCAGGAUGUUGGCUUAGAAGCAGCCAUCAUUUAAAGAAAGCGUAAUAGCUCACUGGUCGAGUCGGCCUGCGCGGAAGAUGUAACGGGGCUAAACCAUGCACCGAAGCUGCGGCAGCGACGCUUAUGCGUUGUUGGGUAGGGGAGCGUUCUGUAAGCCUGUGAAGGUGGCCUGUGAGGGUUGCUGGAGGUAUCAGAAGUGCGAAUGCUGACAUAAGUAACGAUAAAGCGGGUGAAAAGCCCGCUCGCCGGAAGACCAAGGGUUCCUGUCCAACGUUAAUCGGGGCAGGGUGAGUCGACCCCUAAGGCGAGGCCGAAAGGCGUAGUCGAUGGGAAACGGGUUAAUAUUCCCGUACUUGGUGUUACUGCGAAGGGGGGACGGAGAAGGCUAUGUUGGCCGGGCGACGGUUGUCCCGGUUUAAGCGUGUAGGCUGGUUUUCCAGGCAAAUCCGGAAAAUCAAGGCUGAGGCGUGACGACGAGGCACUACGGUGCUGAAGCAACAAAUGCCCUGCUUCCAGGAAAAGCCUCUAAGCAUCAGGUAACAUCAAAUCGUACCCCAAACCGACACAGGUGGUCAGGUAGAGAAUACCAAGGCGCUUGAGAGAACUCGGGUGAAGGAACUAGGCAAAAUGGUGCCGUAACU